rnacentral:lncRNA from 1 species
AGAAUUCUGAAGAUGUGGCUGUGAGAGAAAAUUCACAUAAUUGGAGGAACAGCCCUACCAGAUAUUAAAACAAAAUAAAAAGCCACAAUACAUGAAUCACUUUAUGCCAACACAAAAAUAUUAAUUUAUUUUUAUAAAUAAGUGGAACAAAGCAGAUGUUAAUAAAAUAAAGGCUAUUAUAAAUAAAAUAAAAGUACCUUGCAGAUAAAAUAACAGACAUCAAUCCAUGGGAAAGGAAAAGAUGAUCAAAUGCUAUAAGGUAGCAUUGAAGAAAUUUUGACCCUUUCUUUUUAUCUUAUAAUAAAUACCCGAUGGAAGAAAGAGAAGUUUUAAAAGUGAACAUGGCAAAGCUAAGGUAGAACUUAAGAAGAAUAUUUAUGAAACAGAAGGCCAAAUUUUGAGCUAGAAAUAGCACAGAGAAAAUCAUAAAAUGUCAACAAAUUUGACUUAGAAUUUAUGUACUUCAAAAAGUAAAUUAGAAGACAUUAGCCUGAAGAGAAAUAUGUGCAAAUAUAAUGAAGGGUUAAUAGUGUUAUCAUGCAAAUAGCAGUAGUGGUGGUUGUGAUGAUUGUACAAGUUGACAUAUAUUGAACAUUUCAUUCCACUGUUGAAAUAUUAGAGAGAUUCUAUAACUACGUAAAAACUUAGAUCAUGGGAAAAUGUCCCAGAAAGGAAUGUACCAGAACAUUUCAGAAUAUUUUUUAAAAAAAUCAGUGGUUCUAAGCCAAAGCAAUUUUGCUCUCCAGAGAACAUUGGCAAAGAAGAAGAGGAAAAAAAAAAAAAAGGCAAGAAAUCACUUGAUGCUUCCUCGAUAAAUACUGAUUAUAGCCAGAAUUGUUGGCUUAUUACAUCCUGAGACUUCAUUUCACAGUUGCCCUAGGAAGAGAAGUCCACUAAAUAAUGAGCCAAAUUCUUAACAGUAAAGGAGAAAAAUUACAGGGACUCUUAUUUUUACUUCACAUAUUUCUGUAUUAUUUGGAUACUAUUAAAUUUGUGAUGAAGAAAAAAUAUAUAUUAUGAGCAGUAAACAAGAACUAAUACCCAUCUAUUAGUGAUUCCUUUAUGACAAGCACUUCUCUGAGUCCUUUACAUUUGUUCUUUUAGUUCUAUGAGCUCUUGAGCAAGUUAAUGAUUAUACCUAAAGUAAUGAAAAUAGUUUGUCCCAUUAAGUGGUUUUCAAGAUUAAGUGGGGAGAAAUAUAUCUAUAUAUUUAUAUAAAUAUAUAAAAGCUCCACGAGGGCAGGGAUUUUUGUCUAUUCACUUGUGUCCCCAGCAUCCAGAAUCAAAUAGCUCAUAAUAUGUUCUCAUAAAUAUUUAGGGGAUGAGUAAUCUUUUGAGUUAGAUGUACUGUGAUCGCUAAUAUACAAGUAAGAUUAAUGAGAUACAGAAAAUUCAACGAACAUGGCAAAUAUAUGGCUAUUUAGUAAUAAAACUGAUUUUUAACUGAGCCA